AGUGAACGCUGGCGGUAGGCCUAACACAUGCAAGUCGAACGGCAGCACAGGAGAGCUUGCUCUCUGGGUGGCGAGUGGCGGACGGGUGAGGAAUACAUCGGAAUCUACUUUUUCGUGGGGGAUAACGUAGGGAAACUUACGCUAAUACCGCAUACGACCUACGGGUGAAAGCAGGGGAUCUUCGGACCUUGAGCGAUUGAAUGAGCCGAGGUCGGAUUAGCUGGUUGGCGGGGUAAAGGCCCACCAAGGCGACGAUCCGUAGCUGGUCUGAGAGGAUGAUCAGCCACACUGGAACUGAGACACGGUCCAGACUCCUACGGGAGGCAGCAGUGGGGAAUAUUGGACAAUGGGCGCAAGCCUGAUCCAGCCAUACCGCGUGGGUGAAGAAGGCCUUCGGGUUGUAAAGCCCUUUUGUUGGGAAAGAAAUCCAGCUGGUUAAUACCCGGUUGGGAUGACGGUACCCAAAGAAUAAGCACCGGCUAACUUCGUGCCAGCCGCCGCGGUAA
rnacentral:rRNA from 1 species